rnacentral:rRNA from 1 species
GACGAACGCUGGCGGCGUGCCUAAUACAUGCAAGUCGAACGGACAGACGAUGCUCUUGCUGGUCUCUCGUGUGGCGAACGCGUGAGUAUCACGCGUGUAUCCUCCACCUGUCAGUCUGGUAACACUUGGGGACACCGGCGCUAAUAGCGUAUAACAUGCUGCUGCGCGUGGUUCAACAGAAAGAUACGGUCUUUGUGUCUCUUCUAGCUGGUUACGCGCCGCUUUAGGUAGUUGGUAAGGUAACGGCUUACCAAGGCAACGAUGCGUAACCGACCUGAGAGGGUGAUCGGCCACACUGGAACGGAGACACGGUCCAGACGCCUACGGGAGGCAGCAGUAGGGAAUCGGCCGCAAUGGGCGAAAGCCUGACGGAGCAACGCCGCGUGAGUGAAGAAGGUCUUCGGAUCGUAAAACUCUGUUAUUAGGGAAGAACAAAUGUGUAAGUAAAUAUGCACGUCUUGACGGUACCUAAUCAGAAAGCCACGGCUAACUACGUG